CUCGUAGGCGGUUCGGUAAGUCGGGUGUGAAAACUCUGGGCUCAACCCGGAGAGGCCACUCGAUACUGCUGUGACUUGAGUCUGGUAGGGGAGCACGGAAUUCCUGGUGUAGCGGUGAAAUGCACAGAUAUCAGGAGGAACACCGGUGGCGAAGGCGGUGCUCUGGGCCAGUACUGACGCUGAGGAGCGAAAGCGUGGGGAGCGAACA
rnacentral:rRNA from 1 species